GAUGAACGCUGGCGGCGUGCCUAAUACAUGCAAGUCGAGUGAACGGACGAGAAGCUUGCUUCUCUGAUGUUAGCGGCGGACGGGUGAGUAACACGUGGAUAACCUACCUAUAAGACUGGGAUAACUUCGGGAAACCGUAGCUAAUACCGGAUAAUAUUUUGAACCGCAUGGUUCAAAAGUGAAAGACGGUCUUGCUGUCACUUAUAGAUGGAUCCGCGCUGCAUUAGCUAGUUGGUAAGGUAACGGCUUACCAAGGCAACGAUGCAUAGCCGACCUGAGAGGGUGAUCGGCCACACUGGAACUGAGACACGGUCCAGACUCCUACGGGAGGCAGCAGUAGGGAAUCUUCCGCAAUGGGCGAAAGCCUGACGGAGCAACGCCGCGUGAGUGAUGAAGGUCUUCGGAUCGUAAAACUCUGUUAUUAGGGAAGAACAUAUGUGUAAGUAACUGUGCACAUCUUGACGGUACCUAAUCAGAAAGCCACGGCUAGCUACGUG
rnacentral:rRNA from 1 species